rnacentral:lncRNA from 10 species
AAUGAAUCCUUGAUCUAACAGCACAGACAGCCCCCAACUUACAACGGUUGUGGUGUGGGAGCAAUGCGCAUUCAGCAGAAGUCCCAACACAACCAUUCCAUUUUACAUGUUCAGAAUAGUACUCAAUAAUUGAUGACAUGAGCUAUUCCACGAUUUAUUAUAAACAGGCUUUGUGUGAGGUGAUUUUGCCCAAUGGAAGGCUAACGUCAGUGUCCUGAGCAUGUUUAAGGUGGGCUAUGCUGAGCAAUGAUAUUCGGUAGGUGAGGUGUAGUAAAUGCAUUUUCACCUUAUAAUAUUUUCCAUUUACAAUGAAUUUACCAGGACAAAACCCCAUCUUGAGUCAAAGAGCAUCUGAUCUGCUCACAAGGUGCCUAGAAGGAAUGAUGUCAGACAGCCGUGGUGGUGCCACUUAUGACCUAGCAUGAGCACAUGGCAGGUACCCACACACCAUUCCUGGCGCCUCAGACAUGAGGAGAGGCUGACACCAGUUAUGACCAAUCGUGAGCACGUGGCUGGCACCCACACACCAUUGCCCGGCGCCUCAGACACGAGGAGUGGCUGACACCACUUAUGACCAAGCAUGAGCACAUGGCCGGCGCCCACACACAAUUCCCCAGCGCCUCAGACACGAGGAGGGGCUGACACCGGCCACUGGACACUUUUUACGGAUGAGGACAAGGAAUCUCAGCGAAAUUAAGGGACUUGCCCCAAGUGUCAUGGUCAGUAAAGCCCAGAGCCGGGACUGAACCCACGAUCAGGAGCAUUCCCGCCACUGGGCCUUGCCCGCAGUGGUUUUGAGAGCAGCUGUUGAAAGAGGGGAUCAAUGGUAGACUCAGAGAUCCCUUCUUGCCUCCACCUGAGCCUUCAUUCCUUCGUCUAUAAAAUGGUAUAAUAAUAGUUUCUAUUCCUUGGUGUUACUGAGGGGACUAAGUGAGAUAGAUAUGUGUGUAAAAUGCUUGUACUGUGCUUGCCACAGAAAGCCUUAGCGACAGCGCCUGCUGCCACCUUCCACACCCUGCACGCCACAUCCACACUCAUUCUACGGUAGCAUUUACUAUGUGACACUGCCAUUUCUAUUGUUAACAUCACUCCUCUCCCCUGGAUGACAUGACGCCCCCUCUCACCGGUUUCCCUUUACCACGGCAAGGAAGCCUCCAGUGCCCACCUGUUGGGCUCCAGAAUGCUAAUCAAUGCACGCACCUGUCCCAGCUGGUCCAGGGCAGCAGUGAGCAGGGCUCCAAGGCUAGAACGCUCACAAAGGUCACCAAAAACACGUGUCUCUAAAUGGGAAUGGCUCUCCAAGAGAGAUCUGAUUGUCCUCUUGCCUCAAGGAUAGAAAAGAGUCCCAUCUCCUGAGGAAGUUACCCUGGAGGUGGGCGCAGUGCAGCAAAAAGCAGCCCCCAGGGCAGCCCGCCUAUUCCCACGAGCCUGCUCCAGACUCCUCAGCCUCGGCUACUCCCCGGACUCAACCAGGGAGCUGACGCCGGACACACACCCAGAGCAGGGACCUCAUCAGAAGGUCAGGGAACUGAGAGGGAGACCCAGACAGCAGGUCU